GGCAAUCUAUUUUGAAUAGUCGUUGAUCAACUGUGUUAGUUUUUUUGGAGCCUCAUCCGAGAUGUUGAACUCUUUAAAUGGGUAAUUCUUCUGCUCUCCCAAACUGAUAGUCUCCACUUUUUCUUCAUCUUUAGAAGCAGUUGAUAGAUUAUCAACUGUGAUACUAUACUCUUCGACAGUAGCUGUGACAUCCACCUAGAAAACAAGAAUUGUCAAUGCUAAGUAGAGAUAUACAAUAGAUUUUCCAUCUGUUGCAAUAGAUGAGUCUUAUAUUGCAUUAGAUGGAUUAUCUAUUGGAACAAAUUCGAACAGGUAAAUUAGAACAGUAUGAUAAUUUUGAACAGAUGACCCAUCUGUUGUAAUAUAUGACUCAUCUGUUGAAACAGAUAACGAAUUUGAUGCAACAGGUUAGACAAUAGUUCCAACAGAUGUAUAUAUCUGUUUGAUAAUUUCCAGAUCUGUUGAAACAAAUAUGUGCCUGUUUGUUUUUUGGAAUAGAUGAUGUACAUUCACCUUCUUCAGCUCAUGCUGCUCUUCUG
rnacentral:lncRNA from 1 species